UACGUAUGGUGCAAGCGUUAUCCGGAUUUACUGGGUGUAAAGGGAGCGUAGACGGAAUUGCAAGUCUGAUGUGAAAAUCCGGGGCCCAACCCCGGAACUGCAUUGGAAACUGUAUUUCUCGAGUGUCGGAGAGGCAAGUGGAAUUCCUGGUGUAGCGGUGAAAUGCGUAGAUAUCAGGAGGAACACCAGUGGCGAAGGCGGCUUGCUGGACGAUGACUGACGUUGAGGCUCGAAAGCGUGGGGAGCAAACAGG
rnacentral:rRNA from 1 species